AUGCAAAAUGGACGUAUCAACGACUUUUAUAAAGUCCUAUUUUCUACCUCCCCUCGGGGAGGAGCUGCUCUUGCCCUGGAUAUUUGGCAUGAGCACAACCGCAUCUCGGAUGCGGUUAAUGUUGCCCUUACAACCCCCUUCGAUGAGGAGGAGGUUUUGACCACCAUCAAGGGCAUGAACCCCUCGUCCGCCCCCAGGUCGGACGGCCUCCCGGUUAAGUUCUUCCAGACGUUCUGGACGGUCAUUAAACCGGAGGUGAUGGCGCUAUUUCAGGAGUUCUACAUUGGGGCGAUUGACUUGGCCUGCCUGAACUAUGGGAGCAUCACCCUCAUCCCAAAGGUAGCCGGGGCCUUGGACAUCCGCCAGUUUCACCCCAUUACGGUGAUCAAUGUGAUCUUCCGUAUACUGGCGAAGGGGUAUGAUACGUCUCUGUCGUAUCUAUUAAUUUUUGAUUGUUUCAUGCCAUAUUAUACAAGUUUUACAUACUUUUGGCAACUUUUUAUAUGA
rnacentral:rRNA from 1 species